UCUACGGCCAUACCACCCUGAACACACCCGAUCUCGUCUGAUCUUGGAAGCUAAGCAGGGUCGGGCCUGGUUACUACUUGGAUGGGAGACAAAUAUCUGAAUAGAUGAAAUUUUCAGGCCCUGUCAGAA
ensembl:rRNA 5S_rRNA 5S ribosomal RNA